CGCCAUUUGUACAGAGUUUGCAAGACAAAUGGAAGUCAACUUCUGCAAGUUUAUGUUUGAAAGCAGUUAAUAUGGAGGAAGCCGGAUACUGUAGAGGACGGAAGUUUUGUGCCUGAGAUACCAGUCUUUAACUGUGGAGAUAUUGAAGUGCCCACGAUAGGACAAACCAUUGAUGACUUUCAAGACAUUUCGUCAGAACAGACUGUUCCUAUGUAUACCAAGCACUAAGGACAACAGUGAGAGAUGUGUAUUGGGAUGUACGAAAAAAGCAGUACUCAGUUACUGUGCCAGGUGCCAUAUAACCUAAUUUGUAAUGGUCAGUCCUGUUCAGACUAUUGUGAGGCAAGCCUGGUUAACCGAAGGAUUUUUCUCAUGUAAACUCUGACAACAAUAAAUUCAGUUUUAAAUGAACAGAUGCACACAGUUUAGCUGAUGAUUUCAGACAAGAUACUGUAUUGACCCUAGACCAUACAGGGCUGUGAAGUGUGCUACUGGUGAGAUACUGUAUUGACUCUAGACCAUACAGAGCUGUGAAGUGUGCUACUGGUGAGAUACUGUAUUGACCCUAGACCAUACAGGGCUGUGAAGUGUGCUACUGGUGAGAUACUGUAUUGACCCUAGACCAUACAGGGCUGUGAAGUGUGCUACUGGUGAGAUACUGUAUUGACCCUAGACCAUACAGGGCUGUGAAGUGUGCUACUGGUGAGAUACUGUAUUGUCCCUAGACCAUACAGGGCUGUGAAGUGUGCUACUGGUGAGAUACUGUAUUGACCCUAGACCAUACAGGGCUGUGAAGUGUGCUACUGACGAGAUACUGUAUUGACCCUAGACCAUACAGAGCUGUGAUUUGUGCUACUUGAUGCAAUUCAGAAGAUUAAAUGUGAGAGAUAAUGGAAGACAUGAAUGGAAAUGCUCAGAUAUGCUGGAAAAAUUAUAAACCAAGAAUACUUUGAUAGUUACCAGGUAAAUUCAGAGUUAGAUAAACUUGUUCUUGCUAACUAUUCCUAGGUACACAUGUAAUAUAUAUUGCGCUGUCUAAGUGUAACACAUAACUUGUCCUAAAUGUUACAGAUUGACUGGGUCAAGUAUAAUAGAUUAACUUGUACUCAAUUUAAAAUAACUAUAUUUGGAAUGUAAUGAAAUGGACCUUUAA
rnacentral:lncRNA from 1 species